GAGUAUCGAUACAAGUUAGAUGCACUGCUGUUCCGCCAUUUUCGUUCUACAUUUCCACGUGCGCCCGGAUGUGGCUUCACUUUUCUUCAACAACUCCAGCAAAAUGGGAUAGAAGCCAGAUAUUUUGGUGUAACUUUGAACAAUUAACGCCAUGUGAGUGCGUGCACAAGGCCCUGCGGACAUGCGGAGGCUGAUGAGACACCUCUGCCGAUCAGCCCAUGUGAGACUCCUGUGGACAUUGAAGGUUAUGUCGAACCAUGUGGACGCUGUACAUUAGUGGAAAAGUCUCUGUAACAAGAUAUCGAACUCUGCUGUGAGGUUAUGAUUCUGAUGGCUACUCCAGGCGGCAUGGUACUCCAAACCAAGCAUUUUGGCAUACCUCUUGGUCAUCUGACUACAGAAUCUGUAAUCCCCCAACCUAUGCAAAAGAAUAUCACUAUUAUUUUGUGGCUUCAACUGUAUGGCGUACAGCACUUGAACAGUGCUUCGCUGUAUUCCAUCAAUUGUCCUCCUAUUUAAUACAAAAUAAAGUAUCCAAUGAAAUACAAAAUAUAAA